GGGUUUCCGCCCUUCAGUGCCGGAGCUAACGCAUUAAGCACUCCGCCGGGGGAGUACGACCGCAAGGUUGAAACUCAAAGGAAUUGACGGGGGCCCGCACAAGCGGUGGAGCAUGUGGUUUAAUUCGAAGCUACGCGAAGAACCUUACCAGGUCUUGACAUCUUGCGCUAACCUUAGAGAUAAGGCGUUCCCUUCGGGGACGCAAUGACAGGUGGUGCAUGGUCGUCGUCAGCUCGUGUCGUGAGAUGUUGGGUUAAGUCCCGCAACGAGCGCAACCCUUGUUACUAGUUGCCAGCAUUAAGUUGGGCACUCUAGUGAGACUGCCGGUGACAAACCGGAGGAAGGUGGGGACGACGUCAGAUCAUCAUGCCCCUUAUGACCUGGGCUACACACGUGCUACAAUGGACGGUACAACGAGUCGCAAGCUCGCGAGAGUAAGCUAAUCUCUUAAAGCCGUUCUCAGUUCGGACUGUAGGCUGCAACUCGCCUACACGAAGUCGGAAUCGCUAGUAAUCGCGGAUCAGCAUGCCGCGGUGAAUACGUUCCCGGGCCUUGUACACACCGCCCGUCACACCAUGGGAGUUUGUAACGCCCAAAGUCGGUGGCCUAACCUUUAUGGAGGGAGCCGCCUAAGGCGGGACAGAUGACUGGGGUGAAGUCGUAACAAGGUAGCCGUAGGAGAACCUGCGGCUG
rnacentral:rRNA from 1 species